rnacentral:piRNA from 1 species
UCUGCAGGCAGAACACUUGGAUUCCUCUCU